UACCAGCACCCCGAGGGGUCUGGACGUUUAUUGGGCCUAAAGCAUCCGUAGCCGGUUCUACAAGUCUUCCGUUAAAUCCAACUGCUUAACAGGUGGGCUGCGGAAGAUACUAUAGAGCUAGGAGGCGGGAGAGGCAAGCGGUACUCGAUGGGUAGGGGUAAAAUCCGUUGAUCCAUUGAAGACCACCAGUGGCGAAGGCGGCUUGCCAGAACGCGCUCGACGGUGAGGGAUGAAAGCUGGGGGAGCAAACCGG
rnacentral:rRNA from 1 species